GACGAACGCUGGCGGCGUGCCUAAUACAUGCAAGUCGAACGCUGAAGGAGGAGCUUGCUCUUCUGGAUGAGUUGCGAACGGGUGAGUAACGAGUAGGUAACCUGCCUGGUAGCGGGGGAUAACUAUUGGAAACGAUAGCUAAUACCGCAUAACAGUAGAUGUUGCAUGACAUUUACUUAAAAGGUGCAAUUGCAUCACUACCAGAUGGACCUGCGUUGUAUUAGCUAGUUGGUGGGGUAACGGCUCACCAAGGCGACGAUACAUAGCCGACCUGAGAGGGGGAUCGGCCACACUGGGACUGAGACACGGCCCAGACUCCUACGGGAGGCAGCAGUAGGGAAUCUUCGGCAAUGGACGGAAGUCUGACCGAGCAACGCCGCGUGAGUGAAGAAGGUUUUCGGAUCGUAAAGCUCUGUUGUAAGAGAAGAACGAGUGUGAGAGUGGAAAGUUCACACUGUGACGGUAUCUUACCAGAAAGGGACGGCUAACUACGUG
rnacentral:rRNA from 1 species